CCUACGGGUGACAGCAGUGGGGGAUAUUGCACAAUGGGGGGAACCCUGAUGCAGCGACGCCGCGUGGGUGAAGGAGUGCUUCGGCAUGUAAAGCCCUAUCGGCAGGGAAGAAGCAAGACGGUACCUGACUAAGAAGCCCCGGCUAACUACGUGCCAGCAGCCGCGGGAAGCGGGAGGGGGCGAGCGUUAUCCGGAUUCACUGGGGGUAAAGGGAGCGUAGACGGCCAUGCAAGCCAGGCGUGAAAGCCCGGGGCCCAACCCCGGUCCUGCCCUUGAAACUGCUGGGCGGGAGUGCGGGUGGGGCAGGCGGACUUCCUGGUGUAGCGGUGCCAUGCGUCGUUCUCAGGAGUAACACCGGCUGCGAAGGCGGCCUGCUGGACCGCGACUGACGUUGAGGCUCGAAAGCGUGGGGAGCGCACAGGAUUAGAUACCCUAGUAGUC
rnacentral:rRNA from 1 species